UCCCUCGCCCCCUCUCCGGAGCCGUCCCCUCUGACUCACCGGUACGGGAGGUUGCGAGGUUCG
rnacentral:pre_miRNA from 1 species